rnacentral:tRNA from 1 species
AAUAAUUUGACAGAACAAUUGUACUAAACUUAGAAUUUAAACAUGCUAUUAUUACAA